AGCAGACUGACGCCACAACAUCUGAGACACGAUAGGCUUUACUUCCACUGAUCAGCGAUGCCUAUUCCAGAUUCUGUGAAAUUACUAAACUUCAACUGAUGCAGACUCCCUAUAAGUGAAUGAAGGAUAAUGAGUGACUCAAAUAACUGCCCCACCAGCUGCAGCACCAGCAAGGAUGUCCAGAUCCCCAUCAUCGCCUGCCUCUGUGAAGCUUUAUUAAUGUCUGUCAUUGUCAAUAUCUAUUUUAUGUGUACGAGGAGGCACGCGGAACUUGGCCAGCGUAAUUAUCGAUGAGGCUGAAGAUGCGAUACAGUAUUCCACACUGGAUUUUGCUAAAAAGAGAAAAGAAAGACAGAGGCAGGAAGAGGGAGAGACAGAAGAGACUCUGUACUCCGGUCUGGCGAGUCUUGGGUUGGAGUGAGACCCUCGUAUCUUUAUUACUUACUGAAUACUUGGAAAUGAUUUUUCUUCUUCCAUUUAUUUUAAUGUGUAAUGCCUAAAAUUUAUAACAAUAAAGAAAGGAAAAUUGA